rnacentral:piRNA from 1 species
UGNGUGCUUAUAAUGUGCAGGUACUGUU